rnacentral:rRNA from 1 species
UACGAAGGGGGCUAGCGUUGCUCGGAAUCACUGGGCGUAAAGCGCACGUAGGCGGCUUUUAAGUCAGGGGUGAAAUCCUGGAGCUCAACUCCAGAACUGCCUUUGAUACUGAGGAUCUUGAGUUCGGGAGAGGUGAGUGGAACUGCGAGUGUAGAGGUGAAAUUCGUAGAUAUUCGCAAGAACACCAGUGGCGAAGGCGGCUCACUGGCCCGAUACUGACGCUGAGGCACGAAAGCGUGGGAGCAAACAGGG